UGGCUCUCGCAUCGAUGAAGAACGCAGCGAAAUGCGAUAAGUAAUGUGAAUUGCAGAAUUCAGUGAAUCAUCGAAUCUUUGAACGCACCUUGCGCCCUUUGGUAUUCCGAAGGGCACGCCUGUUUGAGUGUCGUGAAAUUCUCAACCCUCCCCCCCUUUGUUAUGAAGGUGGGCUAAGGCUUGGACUUGGAGGUUCUUGCCGGGCUUUUCGAGCUCGGCUCCUCUCAAAUGCAUCAGUGCGUCUUGUUGUGGCGUUACCUUUUGGUGUGAUAGACAUCUACGCCACCUGGUCGUCGCAGUAAAAACAGAGGCCGUGCUCACAACCGUCUUCCCUUGUGGGGACAACACAUCGAAACUUGACCUCAAAUCAGGCGGGACUACCCGCUGA
rnacentral:misc_RNA from 1 species